rnacentral:rRNA from 1 species
AACGUACGCUGGCGGCACGCCUAACACAUGCAAGUCGAACGAAGUAGCAAUACUUAGUGGCAGACGGGUGAGUAACAUGUGGGUAUCUGCCCUUUGGCCUGGAAUAACACGAGGAAACUUGUGCUAAUACCGGAUAAGUCUUUACAGAGAAAGCUUUAUGCACCAUUGGAUGAGCCCGCACUUGAUUAGUUUGUUGGUAGGGUAAUGGCCUACCAAGACUGUGAUCAAUAGCUGAUUUGAGAGGAUGAUCAGCCACAUUGGGACUGAGACACGGCCCAAACUCCUACGGGAGGCAGCAGUGGGGAAUCUUGCACAAUGGAGGAAACUCUGAUGCAGCGAUGCCGCGUGAGUGAAGAAGGCCCUUGGGUUGUAAAGCUCUUUCGUCGGGGAAGAAAAUGACUGUACCCGAAUAAGAAGGUCCGGCUAACUUCGUGCCAGCAGCCGCGGUAAUACGAAGGGACCUAGCGUAGUUCGGAAUUACUGGGCUUAAAGAGUUCGUAGGUGGUUGAAAAAGUUGGUGGUGAAAUCCCAGAGCUUAACUCUGGAACUGCCAUCAAAACUUUUCAGCUAGAGUUUGAUAGAGGAAAGCAGAAUUUCUAGUGUAGAGGUGAAAUUCGUAGAUAUUAGAAAGAAUACCAAUUGCGAAGGCAGCUUUCUGGAUCAUUACUGACACUGAGGAACGAAAGCAUGGGUAGCGAAGAGGAUUAGAUACCCUCGUAGUCCAUGCCGUAAACGAUGUGUGUUAGACGUUGGAAAUUUAUUUUCAGUGUCGCAGCGAAAGCGAUAAACACACCGCCUGGGGAGUACGACCGCAAGGUUAAAACUCAAAUGAAUUGACGGGGACCCGCACAAGUAGUGGAGCAUGUGGUUUAAUUCGAAGAUACGCGCAGAACCUUACCAACACUUGACAUGUUCGUCGCGACUUUAAGAGAUUAAAGUUUUCGGUUCGGCCGGACGAAACACAGGUGCUGCAUGGCUGUCGUCAGCUCGUGUCGUGAGAUGUUGGGUUAAGUCCCGCAACGAGCGCAACCCUCACUUUUAGUUGCCAUCAUUAAGUUGGGCACUCUGAAAGAACUGCCAGUGAUAAGCUGGAGGAAGGUGGGGAUGACGUCAAGUCCUCAUGGCCCUUACGUGUUGGGCUACACACGUGCUACAAUGGUAUCUACAACAGGAAGCAAAACAGCGAUGUUAAGCAAAUCCUUAAAAGAUACCUCAGUUCGGAUUGCACUCUGCAACUCGAGUGCAUGAAGCUGGAAUUACUAGUAAUCGUGGAUCAGCGUGCCACGGUGAAUGCGUUCCCGGGUCU